rnacentral:rRNA from 1 species
GACGAACGCUGGCGGCGUGCUUAACACAUGCAAGUCGAACGAUGAAGCCUAGCUUUCUAGGUGGAUUAGUGGCGAACGGGUGAGUAAUACGUGAGUAACCUACCUUUAACUCUGGGAUAAGCCCGGGAAACUGGGUCUAAUACCGGAUACGACCAAUCUCCGCAUGGGGUGUUGGUGGAAAGCGUUAUGUAGUGGUUAUAGAUGGGCUCACGGCCUAUCAGCUUGUUGGUGAGGUAACGGCUCACCAAGGCGACGACGGGUAGCCGGCCUGAGAGGGUGAACGGCCACACUGGGACUGAGACACGGCACAGACUCCUACGGGAGGCAGCAGUGGGGAAUAUUGCACAAUGGGCGCAAGCAUGAUGCAGCGACGCCGCGUGAGGGAUGACGGCCUUCGGGUUGUAAAACUCUGUUAGCAGCGAAGAAGAGAGAUUGACGGUACCUGCAGAGAAAGCGCCGGCUAACUACGUG